rnacentral:rRNA from 1 species
GACGAACGCUGGCGGCGUGCCUAAUACAUGCAAGUAGAACGCACAGUUUACACCGUAGCUUGCUACACCAUAAACUGUGAGUUGCGAACGGGUGAGUAACGCGUAGGUAACCUGCCUGGUAGCGGGGGAUAACUAUUGGAAACGAUAGCUAAUACCGCAUAAUAUUGAUUAUUGCAUGAUAAUUGAUUGAAAGAUGCUAUUGCAUCACUACCAGAUGGACCUGCGUUGUAUUAGCUAGUAGGUGAGGUAACGGCUCACCUAGGCGACGAUACAUAGCCGACCUGAGAGGGUGAUCGGCCACACUGGGACUGAGACACGGCCCAGACUCCUACGGGAGGCAGCAGUAGGGAAUCUUCGGCAAUGGACGAAAGUCUGACCGAGCAACGCCGCGUGAGUGAAGAAGGUUUUCGGAUCGUAAAGCUCUGUUGUAAGAGAAGAACGGGUGUGAGAGUGGAAAGUUCACACUGUGACGGUAUCUUACCAGAAAGGGACGGCUAACUACGUG